AUUGAACGCUGGCGGCAGGCCUAACACAUGCAAGUCGAACGAGUGGCGGACGGGUGAGUAAUUUCUGGGAAACUGCCUGAUGGAGGGGUCUAACUACUGGAACCGGUAGCUAAUACCGCUUACCAUCCUAUGUGCCCAUAUGGGAUUAGCUAGUUGGUGGGGUAACGGCUCACCAAGGCGACGCUCCCUAGCUGGUCUGAGAGGAUGACCGGCCACACGGGAACUGAGACACGGUCCAGACUCCUACGGGAGGCAGCAGUGGGGAAUAUUGAACAAUGGGCGCAAGUCUGAUGCAGCCAUGCCGCGUGUAUGAAGAAGGCUUUCGGGUUGUAAAGUACUUUCAGCGGGGAGGCGUUAACCGAAGAAGAAGCACCGGCUAACUCCGUGCCAGCAGCCGCGGUAAUUC
rnacentral:rRNA from 1 species